rnacentral:rRNA from 1 species
GAUGAACGCUGACAGAAUGCUUAACACAUGCAAGUCAACUGUGGCGGACGGGUGAGUAACGCGUAAAGGACUUGCCUCACAGUUAGGGACAACAUUUGGAAACGAAUGCUACUGCCUGAUACUGUGGGAGGGCUUUGCGUCCCAUUAGCUAGUUGGUGAGGUAACGGCUCACCAAGGCGAUGAUGGGUAGCCGGCCUGAGAGGGUGAACGGCCACAAGGGGAUCGGGACGCGGCCCUUGGGCAUACGGGGGGAAGGAGGGGAGAAUAGUGGAGCAUGGGCCAAAGUCGGUUCCAGCAAUUCGGUUGUCAAGAUGAAGUUUUCGGACGGUAAAGUUCUUUGAGUAUGGAAGCGGUACCAACAGAAGAAGUGACGGCUAACUACGUGCCAGCAGCCGCGGUAAUUC